AUAUUUCGGCAGUGGAUCUAAGUGAACCAUAACCUCCGUCACCAGAUGUCCCACUGAUUGCGCAAAAAACGUGUAAGGAGUCGUGCAUCCAGGGAGAAUGCAUAGUAUCUUCUUGGUACAUCUAAACAAAAACAAGAUUACUGUAAAUGGAAGGAGUGCAUCAGGUUGAUUUGCCAUCAUUGGGGAAAAAAAGAAGCAGGUAUCAAUGGGGAGACAAAGAGUACCAACUAGGAGCCGAAUCUUUGGAGGAUAAGACCACUGAGGAUCUGGUUACACCUAACGCUUGUGGCACCUUACAUGCUCUAAGAAAUGAACACAAACUGAAUAUGGCAAGGUUGGAGAGAAAGUACAUCAAGCAACAGGAAAAUUGAUGGGACAAGUGCCAGCUGUGGGCAAGACUUGCCUUAUACUAAGUCCCAAGGUAUGUGUUUAGAGAAGAACACCUGUUUCUUCUGUUGUUAGCCCAAAGGCAUUCAUUAUUGUGAGACAUGGCAUUACGAAGCUACUGUCAUGCAUGGUUCAGUGAAGUUUCUUCGUAGCUCUCACGAAGAGGCUGAUGUUAAAAUUAUCUUGCAUGCCAUCAAUGUCACAAAGAAAGGUGCAACUGAACUCCAAAUGUUUGCACAAGACUCAGAUGUUCUAGUGCUCUCUGUGCAAUUGUGACGGAAUGCACGCCAUACUCACACCCUACACACUAUUGUAAUAAUCUUUGAACAAAGUAUGCCUUGAGAGGUAUCAUUUGAAAACUCAUAACUUGCUGAUCAGUAAUAUCAUGGUAAAAUGCAUGUAGCACCAUUAGGUGUAAAGUUAUGAACAUAAGCUGACAUCAUGACCAAAGUGUGUUUCCCAGAUAAGUCUAAGGAGGGGCUAACCCUGUUUCUCUAAAACAAAGGGCAAGCCGAUGCCCCGCCAGAUGUAAUAAAGCUGAUGGGACAUCACAUAUCAAGUGGCCAUUCUUUGGCAAGAAAAGGGGACAUGGACAAAGAGAUUUAGCAAAAAACAGCUGGAGGUCUCCUUCCUCCAUCAGACCUCCAUCUCCUGGUUCUCAGCUGGAAAUGUUUUUCAAGGGUAGGACUGAAAUUAUAAAAAGGAGGAGCAAACACCCCAAGAGACCUCGUCCUCUCUCUCCCCCUGUCCAUUUCGCUCUUUGCACCUGAGAAGACAAAAGAAGCAGCCCAGUUGGCCUCUGGGGAAGGGGCCCUGACUGGAAGAGUUUGGUCAGUAACACUCUUGGAAGCAUGUGAUGAGAAAUUUUGCUUUGAAUCUAAUAUAGUUUGUUAAGCUAGGCACUAGAAAGUGUUAUCUUUAUUUUUCUAGUAAUCAUUUUGACUUUUAUGCCACAUUCCUUGUACUCACUUAAAAUCUCUCUCUUUAUAGUUAAUAAACUUGUUUUACCUAAUCCACUGUGUUUAUCUUACAGUGUCUGGGUAACUGUUUAAGAUAAUAAGCUACUGUAUAUUAU